GCCGGAGUGGCGGAAUGGCAGACGCGCCGGAUUCAAAAUCCGGUAUGGGUAAUUCCAUGUGCGGGUUCGACCCCCGCCUCCGGUA
rnacentral:tRNA from 2 species